UACGUAGGGUGCGAGCGUUAAUCGGAAUUACUGGGCGUAAAGCGUGCGCAGGCGGCUUGCCAAGUCAGAUGUGAAAGCCCCGGGCUCAACCCGGGAAUGGCGUUUGAAACUGGCAGGCUAGAGUUUGGCAGAGGGGGGUGGAAUUCCACGUGGUAGCAGUGAAAUGCGUAGAGAUGUGGAGGAACACCGAUGGCGAAGGCAGCCCCCUGGGCCAAAACUGACGCUCAGGCACGAAAGCGUGGG
rnacentral:rRNA from 1 species